AUGCUGCAGGUGGACUUGGACAUCUGCAGGGACAUGAACAGCAUGCGGCUGGCCCAGCUGCAUCUGCAGCAGCGCGUGGUGGAGCAGAAGCACCAGGACUUGAUCUCUCAGAAGCAUCAUUACCAGGCAAUGAUGGAGCAGGUACCGCUGCCCAGUGCAAAGGCCACAGGCUGGGCUGUGCAAAUUCCCGACCCUCAGCCACAUGUCCCCUGCAGCCAUCUCAGACCCAGCAAGGCACCACUACUGCCCAACAGCACUGCAGAGGGCAGUGACCAACCCACAGAGUGCAGGACACAUUCUAGCUGCCAUGCGCAGGGUGAGAAGCAGCACCACACUCCCAGCUCCAAACAGGCACAGUUGUUGUGGGCCUGUCUGCUCAACAGAGCAGAGCUGGGUGAUUGCAGCCCCCAUGUGGCACCUGUAGCCUGGGAUCCACGGAGCUGGGCUCACUGCCCUUCUCCACACCCCAACAUGGGUCAGGGGCUGCUGCCUAGGGCUGCUGGGGGACAGGAGACACUGCCACCAUGGGAAGGGCACGAGGGUCUGUGGCUGGGACCAGGGGCCAGGAGCUGCAGCCCCAUGGGGCUGGCCAUGUCCCUUUGCCAAAAACCCAUCCCAAAGUCCACAACCAUCAGGCUGUCCCAGCUUGGCUUUCUCCAGCUUGAGUGCCAGCCCCUCCAUGGGCAGAGCAUGGUGCAGUGUACUCCACUGGGAGCCCACACACAGCACUGCAUCUCUCCACAGGACCAGAAGGACACAGUUCAGAUAGAGGCCACCUCUGCAGAUUCCUGUAGUAGUUCCAGUGCAAGCGAUGAUCUCCUGGAGGAGUACACAGAGCAACUGGAGCAGGUGGCCACGCAAGCAGGCAGAGAGCACUGCAUGCAGAGGGAAGCCCAGGAGCAUCAGUGCUGGGCACAGGACAUGUCAUCAACAGGACACAGCACUGCUAAAGAAGAAGCCCAGGGCAGGAGGAGACAGUGCCAGCGAGCAAGCCUGUCUCGAGCGGCCCAGGUCCCAGCACGGUCACUGGCAGCCCAGAGCCGCCUACAGCACAAGGAGGAACAGCUGCAGCCACGUGCAGGGAGCACCAUGCAGUGCACAGAGGAACAGCCAUGUUCUUGUGCAAGGAGCAGUAUGCAGCACACAGCUGAUGGCAACGAAGUGGAGCCACGAGCACAGCAGGAGGUAGCAGAAAGCAGGGAGAUGGCAGUGUGGCUCCAGAUGGAGUUGAGCCGGUGGCAGCAGAAGCAGCAGGUGACUCUGGAACAGUCACUGCAAUACAUGCAUGCUGCUGCCCGUGCCAAACAGGAGCUACAAAAGAGCCAAGAGCAACUCCAAGCCCUGAAGAACCAGCUGAAGGCUCAGAAGGAGCAGAACCGGACCCUGCAGCACAGCCUGGAAAAGCAGCAAGAGGUGCUGGCAGCCACCAAGGCCCGGGAGAUGCAAAGUUUGCAGCAGCUCAGUAGACACAAGCAGACAAUCCACGACCUACAGCAGAAAGCAGCCUCGAGCAGAAAGAAGAUGGCAGAGCUGCUAGAGCAGGUGGAGGACGUGGCAUCCCUGAAGGCAGAGCUGGCCCAAGCCCAGAGAAAGAUAGGCCACAAUCUUCCACUCCUUUGUCGUUAUGAGAAAGAGAGGCAGCAGCUCCACAGGGAGCUCAAGGAGCAACAGAGGGCCCAGGUGCAGAGCCAGCAGGAGGUAAGCAUGGCCCGAGCCUUCCCGCUAGGUGCCUGUGCUAACCCUGCACAUCCCUCAUCACCCCUCUGUGCCGCUGGCAGGCCCGCUCCUUCCAGGAGAAGCUGCAAAAGCUGAGCAGCCAAGUUCGGUACUGGCAGGAGUUACACCAGGACACUCAGCGAACUCUGGCUAGACGGGAAGAUGAGCUGUCUGUCUGCAACGCGGAGAUGGAUUUCAAGGAAGAAUUCAUCAAGGCCAUGAGACAGGCUCAGGCCAGGAACAGGCAGAACCACAGCCCAAGGACAGGAGGAGUGCAACCUGAGCCCCAGGCACCACUGAAGGACAGAUCCUGGCCUACAGGCAGGGCAGAGGCGGAAAGGCCGGGCCAGGAGUGGGCUAACUGCAGAGCCAGCACCAACAAGGGAGGAGGCGGUGGCGGUGGGUCUGUAAGCAGCAGCAGUGCUAACAUCUUGUUCUUCUUUAAGUAGUCCACUUUUCUCUGUUGCGAGAAAGGUGUCCUCAGUAUGAAAUGAAGAGUUUCUGUCCAGACUGCUGAGGUAAUGGUUCCUUCAUUCCAGAGCAGCUAUCCCAAGACACAGGCAACUGCAGACUCACAGCUCAGCCCCAAAGGCUGCUGCCUCCACACAGCUCUGUUCAUGCACCUUCCUUCUGCCCUGGGCGUGUAGAGGUUGAGUAGAGCACGCGAGUUCACACACAGCACAUUGGUUUUUUUUAGGUAAAAACCCUGCAUGCUUCCCACACCCCAGCCUGUUCUAAUAGCAGUAGGCUGCACCAGGACAGGAAUCUGAUGCUGAUCAAUAAUAGCCAGAGUGUGAAAGAGCAGAUGUGAGUAAGAAGCCUUACACAAGUAGAGGGGAGCUGAUGGCUGCCUUCUCACAACUAAUUCAGCCUACACCUCAUUUUCAGGCAGUCAAAUGAGAAACACCACAAGAUCCAGCAGCAAGUCAAGCAGGCUGCAGAGUUCACAGGCGAAAACCA
rnacentral:lncRNA from 1 species